CCAUAUGCUCACUCGGCUGCUAUAUAAACCCGCUUUAGUCUUUGCACUUCGCUUUUGAGGAACUCUCAUAGUAUCCUAAAACAAAGGUCCAAAUUCGUAAUCUGCACGUCCAACAAUUUUCAAUAUGGUCACUCCCCUUCUUUCCCUUCCUAAGCUCCAAAGUCGAUCCACACCUUCAAAAUCGCCAAAUUUGCGCUUCAGCUGUGAGUCGAGAAUCAAAUCUCAGCCAGCCUCUCGUUUAUUUUCAUCCUACAAACAUGGAGUAGAUAUAUCUAUCAAUUCGGGACCGUUGAACUAUUUAAAGAGAAGUCGGAUGACAAACAGAAGCAGAGACGUAACAGAGAGAAAGAAGAGUCCUAGGAAGAAUUAUCGGGAGUGCCCCCGAGGGACUGGGGAAACAAGACAACCGCAAUGGUCAAGACCCUACAUUCGUCAAUUAGGGUUUUGGUAUAUGGCAACUUCUAUAAGGCACAUACUGAGGAGGGCAAAGGCGUUCUAUAAUGAGCUGUAUUGCGAUGCCUAUGAUGAUCCGAAAUUAUCGUCUGGAGAAGUGAUGAAUAUCGAUCCCUACUUCUCAGUUCCAGUAGUGGAAAAGCUGAUAUUGUGUUCAUGAUGAACUUGCAAAAAGAAGCAUAUUGUCAUUAUAUAUAUGUACAUUUAUGUGUUCGCGCAUACGUGCUUUGCGGAUGUUAAUUAGUUAUCAUUUAUGGAAUUUCUAGCGUCCUGUGGCUGAACUUUCACCCGCCCAAGUGCGAAAACCUUUUGCACUUGAAACACGAUGUUUCGUACAAGUGUGAAAAAAUUUCACAUAAAUUCCAUAAAAGAUUUUCGUACCGAAAGAAGAUGUUAUGUACAAAACUUUGGUUUUCUUGUGCGAAAGGUUUCCGCACAGGAAUAAUAAUAUUUCGUACUGAGUGGAGAAAAUCUUUGCCAUAUGAGAUGUUUGAAUCAAUGUACAAAAACAUUUCGCAAAACUGCUCUUUCAUUUAAGACAUAUGAUUUUUCUUGUACGAAAAAUUUACUUCUAGUGCAAAAAAAAAAAUUCGCAUAAGAAGAAGAACUAGCAUUUCACACUAGUACAAAAUAUUUUUCUUCAAAGUGCAACAAUCCGUACUUUGGAUGGCUGAAAGUUCAGCCACGGGAUAUGCUAGAGAUCCGUAUCAUUUAUAAUAUAAGUAGUUAUCAUUUAUUACUUA